GACGAACGCUGGCGGCGUGCCUAAUACAUGCAAGUCGAGCGGGGUUGUCGGAGUGGAGUCCUUCGGGAUGAAGCACCGUCAAUCUAGCGGCGGACGGGUGAGUAACGCGUGGGUAACCUGCCCUAAAGCCCGGGAUAACACCGGGAAACUGGUGCUAACACCGGAUACCUUCCGAAGAGGGCAUCCUUUUUGGAAGAAAGGUUAACGCUUUAGGAUGGGCCCGCGUCCCAUUAGCUAGUUGGUGAGGUAACGGCUCACCAAGGCAGUGAUGGGUAGCCGGCCUGAGAGGGUGGACGGCCACACUGGGACUGAGACACGGCCCAGACUCCUACGGGAGGCAGCAGUAGGGAAUAUUGCGCAAUGGGCGAAAGCCUGACGCAGCGACGCCGCGUGGGUGAUGAAGGCCUUCGGUUGUAAACCCUGUCCUUGGGGAGAAGAAAGUGACGGUACCCAAGGAGGAAGCCCCGGCUAACUACGUGCCAGCAGCGCGGAAUCACGAGAGUA
rnacentral:rRNA from 1 species